UAUGCAAAACAUUCCUGUUCACGAUCUCUUGUUCUUCAGCUUUGUUUUUUUUCCCUCCAUCUCUUCUCUCGUUCGAGCAUUCUCACUCGCGAGCUUGCCAAAGAGUGACUCAACAAUCAAAUAUCUGCUAUGGAGAAAUAGAACAUCUAAAUAAGAAAACUAUCAGCAUGGGAAAUGUAACCAGAAGGCAAAGCUACCUGCUGUUUAAACAAAUACGAUUCCAUAUAAUUCUGUCACCGUUCCAAAAAAGCCUGCCUGUCUUAAGGAAGUUCCAAAGCUCCAGGGAGGACGUUUCUGUCUUAGGGGACGCAUAAGUAACUACUUGCCCGGAACAGACGUUUGAAUGUCGGAGCUGGCCACCAGCAGCGAUGCAUAACAGUUUCUGAUUGUGUGAAGAUCAUGGCGGAACUCCCCGGAGAUACUCGACGCUUGGGUGGCGCUGGACGUUGCUAUGCUGAGACGCAAUCGACUCAUAUUAGCUCCUGGAGAAUCGCUUAAUGUUUGUCAGGCCUGGACUUGGUUCUCGACGCAAAAUCGCUGAGUACGUUUCUAGGGAAAUGUCCUCGAGUUGCUCUCUUGCAAAAGCACCUGCAGCCAAGGGAGAAAAACAGUGGACGUCUUGUGAGGGCUGAGCGGUCUCUCUUCACAUGCAGCCAAAUGGCUGCUCGGGGAACUGAAUGGAAGUUGUAAAAAAAAAAAAAAAAAAAAGAUGAAAAAUAAAA